rnacentral:rRNA from 1 species
AUUGAACGCUGGCGGCAGGCUUAACACAUGCAAGUCGAGCGAGCGGCGGACGGGUGAGUAAUGUCUGGGAAACUGCCUGAUGGAGGGGGAUAACUACUGGAAACGGUAGCUAAUACCGCAUACCCUCAGAUGUGCCCAGAUGGGAUUAGCUAGUAGGUGGGGUAAUGGCUCACCAAGGCGAAGAUCCCUAGCUGAGCUGAGAGGAUGACCGGCCACACUGGAACUGAGACACGGUCCAGACUCCUACGGGAGGCAGCAGUGGGGAAUGUUGCACAAUGGGCGAAAGCCUGACGCAGCAAUGCCGCGUGUGUGAAGAAGGCCUUCGGGUUGUAAAGCACUUUCAGCGAGGAAGCGUUACUCGCAGAAGAAGCACCGGCUAACUCCGUGCCAGCAGCCGCGGUAAUUC